rnacentral:lncRNA from 1 species
CGAAAGGCAAUGACAAUGUAAGAUAACUAUUCAUUCAAUCUUAAUAGAUGUGUCUUAAUAAUUUGUACAAAAAUAUUCAUACAACGUAUGAAUUUACAAAUAUAUAAUUAAUAGAGACAAAAAAAUAAGAAAUCAUAGUUACCCACCGAUGUUGGUCCUAUGUCAUCUUGGUUUACUUCCGUUUGAUUUUGUACUAUAUUUACUGAGUUCAAUCGUGUUUGAUAAUUGGCAUGUCGUCGCAUUAAAAUUUGAGCCCGCUGUGAUGAAUUCAUAGAUUGUCGUCUUUGCCUUUGUUGAUUGCUCCUAUGAUAACUUUGAUUUGACUGUUGAGAAUUUUGAACAUUUGUUUGUCCGAAGUGAAUUUCUUCAUUGUCGACCGACAUUGAGAAAUUGCCAAAAAGAAUGAAUUUUAUUUUAUUUUUGAAAAAGAAGAAAAAAUAGAUCAUCUCUACAGAAGAGGAAUAAUACAGAUAAGGUAAGAACCUCUGACAUAUUGCGUCUAUCAAUUCCCUCCAUAGUUGAUAUGUUGAAGUCCUCUGGAAAUCUUAAAACUGAAAUUUCAAUUUGGAUGAUUCUUAAUAAAGGUAAAAUUGAAGGAAAAUAUGGAAACAUAGCAUUGAAAUUCAACAAUGGAAAAUGAUGCUUACACAAAUUAGAUCAUAGUUAAAAGAUUCAUGAAAUGUACACUAUCGAAUUGACAGAACACAUGGGGAUUUCGAAAAGGAAAAAACAGAAUAACACAAACUAAUAGGACGGAGCCGAACAUAUACCACCAUAACCAAAAUUAAGACAGUAGGCAUUAACCCAUUUGCAGAUCCGAUUGAGCUAAUUUUCCUGAGCUUCAACCACGGACCCAUUCAUGAAUCCCUAAAUUUACCCAAUCUUAACAACUUGAAGAAUUUAGUACAAAAAUUUAACCGAGCAGUAAACUUCGAAAGCAAAAAGAGUUACGAAAACAAAUAGAAAACAGAAUGGUUAACAUACAACAAAAUUUGUUGCCUCUAGAUUUGCAAGGAAGCAAAAUCUUCAGCUGAUGCAAAACCUAUGUCGUUUGGUUAAUCACAAACGUUUCUUUUAUUAGCAAUCAUCACAAACGCCGACAGAAAAAGACAACUAAAGGACAUAUUUCUCACCGCAACAUAUAAAUUGAGAAACAAAAUGGAACAAAUAUAAGUUAGAAAGAGUACAAAGCAAGAAAUAAUGAAGAGAAAUACAUGGAAGGCACUGGAAGAGCAGAAGAAGUAGGAUUGCAGUGGCACCACCCACCCUCUCUCGCUCGCCGAUUCCUAUUCGGUUUAGUGUGCUCUAAUAAGCCCAGAAAUCUCAACACUCAGACAGAGACAAAUUGUAGAAACAUAUAAGAAAGCAAAUAUAGGAUCCCCAACAUCUUACAUGGAACUUGGUAGUAUCAAUGGGUGGACUUCUUCUUAUCUGCAUAAUUUUCGUAAAAAAAUAAUCAAAUUACUUAAACUGAAACGAUAAAGAACAACUUUGAAACCAAAACGUACGGAUGAUUUCUUGCCGCUAGAUUUCCAAGGAAGCAAAAUCUUCAAACUGUCCUGGAUAUAUAAAAAAAAUAAAAAGAAGAAGAAGUGGAGUGGUUGUGUGCAGAGAGACGAAGAGGGUUAAAACUGAUCCCAAUCAGAACAACCUGUAUGGGAAAAGAAGCAAACAGAGUUUCACCUUUCCCUCGCUAAAAUGCUUCCUCUCUUUUCUCCUUCUCCUUCUCUCCAACCCAAAACUGUAAAACACUUCCAGUAAAAUCAAAUUAAAGAAUCAAACCCAGGAACAAAAUCACAAAAAAAAUGAGAGAAAUUCGAAAGGGUAAUGGAACCCUAGUUUUUUAAAUUGGGAAGUUGGGUACCUGGAGAAGAUGGAAAUGAAGGCGACGGUUUAAGUCACAAAUAGCUUAAUCGAAGCAAGAUCCAGAUGAACAACAAAUGGGUAACUGAGAUAGAGCGAGAGGAAGAUCGGAGCUUACAUGAAAGUUGCUGGUGCGGUUGGAUGCUGCUCCCUUUUCAGAGCUUCGACUCUGGCAAUUGAAAUCAAAUACAAAUUAUCAUCUCUUUGGGUUAUUUCUCCUAUUAAUACAAUAAAUACAAAAGCCUGUACUGAUGAAACAAAUAAAAAUAAAUAAAAAAAUUGAAAAACCAAAAAGUGUAUACCUCGGGAUUAAAUCGGUGGUGGUUUGGAGAGGAUAGAUAGUUAGAUGGGAGGAGCUAGUGACAGGAGGUUCGGCUGGCGGUGGCCGCGGAGGAGGGAGAAAGAGAGGUGGCUGCGGAGGAGGGAGAGAGAGAGAGUUAGUGAGAGACGGAUCCAGAUUCCAGAAAACAGGAUCCCGUAGUGGGUUUUAAUUCUAUCGGCAUGGCAAGAUAAUGGGGUUUCAGUUCGCAAGAUAAUGGGUUUCAGUUUUUGCACGGAAGUUUUUUCCUUUUUUAUUUUUCGUGUUUUUUUCCCUUUUUUUUCGAAAACUGCCGAACGUGGUUGAAGUUGUGUCUUCC